UACGUAGGGUGCGAGCGUUAAUCGGAAUUACUGGGCGUAAAGCGUGCGCAGGCGGUUUUGCAAGCCGGAUGUGAAAUCCCCGGGCUCAACCUGGGAAUGGCAUUCGGGACUGCAAGGCUGGAGUGCGGCAGAGGAGACUGGAAUUCCUGGUGUAGCAGUGAAAUGCGUAGAUAUCAGGAGGAAUACCGGUGGCGAAGGCGGGUCUCUGGGCAACAACUGACGCUGAGGAGCGAAAGCGUGGGGAGCGAACAGG
rnacentral:rRNA from 1 species